AUUGAACGCUAGCGGGAUGCCUUACACAUGCAAGUCGAACGGAGUGGCGAACGGGUGAGUAAUGUAACGGAACGUGCCCCGGAGCGGGGGAUAACUACGCGAAAGCGAAGCUAAUACCACAUCCUAUUGGAGCGACCGAUAUCGGAUUCGCUAGUUGGUGGGGUAACGGCUCACCAAGGCGACGAGCCGGAGCUGGUGUGAGAGGGAGACGAGCCACACUGGGACUGAGACACGGCCCAGACUCCUACGGGAGGCAGCAUUGGGGAAUUGUGGACAAUGGGGGAAACCCUGAUCCAGCCAUCCCGCGUGUGCUAUGAAGGCCUUCGGGUUGUAAAGCACUUUUGGCAGGAAGGCGGUACCUGCAGAAUAAGCACCGGCUAACUACGUGCCAGCAGCCGCGGUAAUUC
rnacentral:rRNA from 1 species